AUAUUUCAGUUUCAUCUUUUAUUAGUACUUUAUACCUUCGAACAUUACUAUUCUUACAGCUAAAGCCUAUCCACGUCAUCAUCUUUAACGAAAAUAUCAAGUUUCUGAAGAGGGAUUUCAAUUUUUAGAUGCUUUCAAAUUUUAUUCCUACCUAAUUUAGCUUUAUUGCCAUGCUUUCACAACAAUUAAACCAGGGAUUAAGAUAUUCCGAUCCUUGCGUACUAGGAAUAAAUUCUUCGUUAACUUUUUAUACAUAGAAGAUAGGAACCAAACUGUUUCACAACGUUUUUAACCCAACUCACGUAACCUUUUAAUUGGCGAACAGCCAAACCCUUCCAAUCUUUUACCUCUGGAGGAUAGGUUGAGUCGACAUCGAGGUGGCAAACUUCGUGGUCGAUAGGAUCUCUCGCACGAAAUAACCCUGUUAUCCCUGGCGUAGCUUUGAUUCGUUGUUCUCGUACCAUUCCAUUAUGAAUACGAGGGUCAUUAUGCCCCACUUACGUGUCAGAUCGAUCUGUCAAUCUCACUGUUAAGCAAAGUUAUACCAUUAUGCUUCUUCCAAGAAUUCAUUAACAUUAGUAUUACAAAUAUCUAUUGAUCUCAAUAUCUCACAAUACUGACACCCAUUCUAAUUUAGAAUCCUAACAAUUAGACACCAUAACUAAUAUUUCAAACUUGAUUGGUUACCAUCCAAUUUUACUUCACCUUAGGACAUCCCAGAUACUCUUUUUGAGACAUGCGCCCCACAUAAACUGUCUGUUAAUCAAUGUCCUGAUAUAUCAGUAAGUCAUCGCAGCCCACGAUAAAGGUAUUUCAUUUAUGUCUAAUCAACUACCUUAUAUACUACCAACGUGAGAGUUAAUAACAAUAACUAACUACAGUAAAGCUGCACAGGGUCUUCCCGUCUUUCUACACAUAAACCGUAUCUGCACGGCUAUUCCAAUUUCACUAAGUUUAUUGCGGAGACAGUUGUUGUAUCAUUAAACCAUUCAUGCGGGACCGCAUUUAACGGCCAAGGAAUUUCGCUACCUUAGGACCCUUAUAGUUAAGGCCGCCAUUCACUAGAACUUCAAUCGAUUUCAAGAUUCACUCAAAAUCAAACUGUUCGUUCCCUAGCAUUGGGCAGAUCUCAUACUUUAUACUAAGAUUCUCAUCUUUGCAAAGUACUGUGUUUUAAGUAAACAGUUGUACAACAUUUUUUAGUGACACCUUAAGAAGGUUCCUACAUAUACAUAACAUAUAUAUACAUAUAGGAAUUCCCACUAAUAGGCACCUCUUGUCUCUAAAUUACGAGAUUAUUUUGCCGAGUUCCUUCGCAAUAAUUCUCUCAUACGCCUUAAUACAUUAAUAUCCACAGACCUGUGUCGGUUUUAGUACGGUUUAUAAAUAUACCUUUUCCCGAAUUACAAUUAUAAUGAAUAAUAACCCAUCACAACCAUAAUUUUUACUUAUAUUCUACUCAUCCAUUACUCCUUCGAGAUACUGUUAGAGACCGCACUCACUUAUGGUAGUUAAGCUUUACCAUAAAACCCUUCUGUUUCCGGCGAGCAGGAUUCUCACCCACUUUAACGUUACUCAUGUCAGCAUUCUCUCUUUAGUUAUAUCCAAACAAUAAAAUACUGUUCUUCAUCUAUUUACUAAAUGUUCUGCUACCCAUAUCAUUAUUAAUACUCUUUACAACUAAACCUAUAUACAAAAACCCCGUAGUCACUUACAAGUAUCCAGCAUACACUGAUUAAUAAUAAUAUAAUAAUAUUUCAGUAUGUUAUUUAGAUCCGUAUAUUUUAAGCGCUCCCUUCCUGAGAUCAUUACACUAUUACGUGUUUAUUAUAAGAUGGCUGUUUCCAAGCCCACUUCUUGACUGUCUACGAAAGAAAACUUCUUUUAAUUCACUCAAUAACAAUUUUGGAACUUUAUAUAUUAUUCUGGGCUGUUUCCCUCUCGACUCCUCACCUUAUCGCAAGAAGUCUGAUAACUCAUCAUAUAUUAAUAGCUAUUCUGAGAUUAAAUAUCCAAAGUAAGUACCUUCAUACUCCCUUCUAACAUAAGUUAGAUAUUCAGUGCUAUACCCACUACAAAUAAUAACAAGUCAUCUACCAAAAUAGAUUUCGCAGAAAACCAGCUAUAUCCUAGUCCGAUUUGUAUUUCACUCCUUACCACAAUUCAUCUGAGUACUUUGCAACGUACACCAGUUCAAUCUUUCAUCUGAUCAUAGUAAGAUCACUAGGUUUCGGGUCUAAUAUUAAAUAUUAUACUCCUUAUCAGAAUCAAUUUCUUUAGGUAUCACUACUUACAUUUAAUAUUAACUCGCUGACCCAUUAUGCAAAAGGUACACCGUCAGACCUAAGUCCUCCGGCUGCUCAUAAAGUUAAUAAUUCAAGAUCUAUUUCACUUACUUAAUAAAGAUAAUACUCCUUAUUAUAUUCUUUUCAACUUUCCCUCACGGUACUCUUCACUAUCGCUUAGUAUACUAUAUUUAGCCUUAGAGGAUAGAUCCCCUGUAUUCAAACAAGAUUAACCUCGUUCUACUUAAAUAACAUUUAUCUUCAUGGAUCAUGGGCUUUCACCAUCUUUCGCUUCCACAUAUCAAGAACAUUACUAUUCUAUCUAUUCUAUUGAAAGGUUUCCAACUUUUUAUCAUGAAAUUAAAUCUCAGUUAUAAGAUUCCAACUCAUAGAGUCAGAUUAAUAAUGACAAUAUUACUAUCAAUAAAUGCAUAGGCUACUUUGCUUUCGCUCACCACUACUCACAAAAUCUCGGUUGAUUUCUAUUCCUAAAGUUACUAAGAUGUUUCAGUUCACUUCGUAAUCUUAAUAAAGUUUCCUUCUCGGAGUUACAUGAUAACAUAUGUAUAAUCAUGAAUUAGGUAUAAAACCUCCUAAAAUAUACUAGCUAGUUAUCCUUAUUAACUUCUUU
rnacentral:rRNA from 1 species